GACGAACGCUGGCGGCGUGCUUAACACAUGCAAGUCGAACGGUGAAGCGCCUUCCUUUUUGGUUGGUGUGGAUGAGUGGCGAACGGGUGAGUAACACGUGAGUAACCUGCCCCCUUCUUCUGGAUAACCGCAUGAAAGUGUGGCUAAUACGGGAUAUUCUGGGUCUGUCGCAUGAUGGGUCUGGGAAGGAUAUUGUUUCGGUGGGGGAUGGGCUCGCGGCCUAUCAGCUUGUUGGUGGGGUGAUGGCCUACCAAGGCGGUGACGGGUAGCCGGCCUGAGAGGGUGGACGGUCACACUGGGAGUGAGACACGGUCCAGACUGAUACGGGAGGCAGCAGUGGGGAAUAGUGAACAAUGGGGGCAAGCCUGAUGCAGCGACGACGCGUGAGGGAUGGAGGCCUUCGGGGUGUGAACCUCUUUCGCCAGUGAAGCAGGCCUGCCUCGUUUGUGGGUGGGUUGACGGUAGCUGGAUAAGAAGCGCCGGCUAACUACGUG
rnacentral:rRNA from 1 species